GCCCGCCACCACGCCCGGCUAAUUUUUUGUAUUUUUAGUAGAGACGGGGUUUCACCGUGGUCUCGAUCUCGUGACCUCUUGAUCCGCCCGCCUCGGCCUCCCAAAGUGCUGGGAUUACAGGCGUGAGCCACCGCGCCCGGCGCAGGGCGUGCCCAGGGCUUCUGAUGCCAGAGCCCAGGAAUGAGCUUUUGCCUUUUGGAUUCAGGGCUUCCCUGUACUCUCACAGAGUCAGAAUGGCCGUAUGUUUACAUGUGAAGCCCUGGGGCUCCCUGGCCCCUUCCUGGGCCGUUCUCCACCUUUUCUCUUCUCACCCUUUGCUGUUCCCUGAGUCAUGCAAUCCAUAGUGAAGAGGCCAGAGGCCCGGAUGGGGAAGUGCCGGGGGCAGCCGUGGCAGCUUCAUCACAGAGCUCCUGGGGACUGAUGCACACAGCUGUGGAAAUGAUAGUAAGGCUCUUUGUUAGAGCUCUUGUGGCUGCCUGGAGAUGAUGCUGCCUUGGCCAUGGCCUGCUGUUAUCCUCGGGGAGCUGGGACGUGGGCACAGGGGCAUGCAUUUCCCCCUCAGCACUAGCUCCAAGGGACAAUGUGCAGCACUUGCUGAGGGCAGAAGAAAAUGGAAAACAAAGACAAACAAACCAAAGAAGGCGGAUGAAGUAGAAGCCAUUCAUUCUUUCCAUGAACAUUGACCCUAUAUCCUGAAGGUGGAUCCAAUGAAAAAAGAGAAGCAGCAAGAGUGGCUUCUGUUUCCCUGGCUGGACUCUGAGUAAUAUAGCAGCAAUAAUUUCCCAAGGGAAAGGAGGAAGACGGGUUGGCUCCAAUGAAGACACUUAUGAUGUGAAGAGUUCCCGUAACAGUUCACCAUCUCUGGGGCAGUUAUACAACAGGGAUCCCUGACUUCUUCAGAACCGAGAGUUCAAAUCAGGACUAUCUGGUGAUGAAUCUAUCCACUAGAAGCUGAGACAUCAUCAAUUGAGAACUGGCUUAUGGUAACAGAAGACGGCACUAUCACAAGCCAGCUGUGUUUCCUGAGAAUAUUCCCUUGGGCUACUGAUAGAGAUUUCACUCCUACAUAGAAAUAAUAUCUUAGAAUAGGUUGCUCUGCAGAUAACUAGGCUCACACUUUCAACAUCGCUCCUUGCAAUCACUGUUUCAGAGAGUGGCUGUUUCCUAAACUCACUGCAUCUUAAGAACUGUGUAUGGGUUAUAGGAUAUUCACAUACAGAAUAUGCAUAGUUAAACAGGAUUCUUCUUUAAGGGAAGAGAAGCU
rnacentral:lncRNA from 1 species